rnacentral:lncRNA from 1 species
GGUUUGCAAGUGUCCUACUGUGGAUUCAUUAUUAUUCGUUGGAUACCAAUGUACGUGGAUUUUGUAGGUAAAGGUGAACACUGGUGAACCACGAAAUUAAAUGUUCAACUAAUGACACAUUUUCAAAGGCUUAAAUAAAGACUUCGGCAAAACCACAAAAUUAAAUGUCCACGAACAUCCAAGUUUUCCUACAUCCACGAAAAUUAGUGUCCACGAAAAUAAAUGAAUCCACAGUAAUUAGUAUUUAGAAUUGUCAUGUGACCAAAAUUGAUGUAAACUUUAAAGCUUCAAAUUAGAUUAGUUGUACAUUUAUCAAACACUCAUUUUAAAAAUAUUGUGAUCAAUAAAAAAUCAAUGAUGUCUGAAAGUUUUAUAUGAUAAAGAGAUAUUUAAUUAU